rnacentral:rRNA from 1 species
AAUAGAUACCCGGGUGGUCCACGCCGUAAACGAUGAGUGCUAAGUGUUAGAGGGUUUCCGCCCUUUAGUGCUGCAGCUAACGCAUUAAGCACUCCGCCUGGGGAGUACGGUCGCAAGACUGAAACUCAAAGGAAUUGACGGGGGCCCGCACAAGCGGUGGAGCAUGUGGUUUAAUUCGAAGCAACGCGAAGAACCUUACCAGGUCUUGACAUCCCACUGACCGGUAUAGAGAUAUACCUUUCCCUUCGGGGACAGUGGUGACAGGUGGUGCAUGGUUGUCGUCAGCUCGUGUCGUGAGAUGUUGGGUUAAGUCCCGCAACGAGCGCAACCCUUGAUCUUAGUUGCCAGCAUUUAGUUGGGCACUCUAAGGUGACUGCCGGUGACAAACCGGAGGAAGGUGGGGAUGACGUCAAAUCAUCAUGCCCCUUAUGACCUGGGCUACACACGUGCUACAAUGGAUGGUACAAAGGGCUGCAAGACUGCGAAGUCAAGCCAAUCCCAUAAAACCAUUCUCAGUUCGGAUUGCAGG